rnacentral:misc_RNA from 1 species
CGCAAACAUCCACAAACGCACGGCGCUCUCUUGUGUGUGUCUCCUCUGCGAGUGUGGGGAGGACUGCGCGCGUCGGCGUUCCCCCCUUUCCUCAUUGGGCAUCUGCGCCUUAGUGCGCGUAUCGUCAGGCAGCGGUCGCCGUGGGCCGAACUGGACCAUAUUAGCAUCUGCUUCGUUCUGGUUUUGUUCGUCUUUUGUCGCCUUGUGUCCCACUACGCCCUCUUCUGGGCCUGUGCUCUCAUUAAUGCCGAGCAUGAACCGAUCUCUGCUCGCUAACAAUGGCGCGCCCGCAGCGAAGCGACCGCGUCGUGAGCCGGCUCCUGACAUAUCCGCACAUGUGAGCGACAUUCCUGAGGUGAUGUCGUUGGUUGCGGAGAACAACGCGCAAUUACGUCCAAAGCUCCGGCUGAGCCAGCGCGACUUUCUCAGCCAUGCAUUUGACGCUCUAGGGGCCGCGGCGAGGCAGGAUCCGAGCAAGGCGGAGGUGGCCCUGAGCUUCCUUGCGGAGAUGGCCGCAAAGCAUCAGGAGCUGCCACGCAACACCGUCAUUUCCAAGGUACUCUACAUGUGGUGCACACCGGAACUGGUCGAGUCUGGCGUUCGCCUCAUGGAAACUCUUCUAUGCAGCCGGGCGAAGCUGCCGGAGGCCUUCCUCGCCGCAUUCGACGAGCGCGUGGCCGCUGUGGCACUCCGGGUUGCCAUACAGGCACCGGUAGUCGAUGUCGCACUGCUUCGACGCAUCUUGGACGCUCUGCCGGCAGACGCUUUCAAGCGUCGCGUGUUCCAUCCCCUCUUUGUGCACUGCCGCAGGGCCGCUGACGUGCCGCUGUGCUUUGAGUUCUUUGAUAUGGCCCGUUCAAAGGAGCUGGAAAUGUGGGACAACGACUACAACGAAGUUCUUCGCACGAUCGCCGCCGCCCGGGACAAGGCUGCUGUAACUACCGCCGAGGCAGCCGAGCGCACGAACCUUGUCCUGGAUGAGAUGGCGCGGCAUCACCCUGUUCUGGGGGCUGCAAACGCUCAGCUGGUUCGUGAGCUGCUCGGCGGUACUGUGGCGCCGGUCACCGACGACGGUGUCUGCUCUAACUGCGGUGCACAGCUGCAGAGCUUUGACCUAUCUGCCGAAGACCGCGCGGUGCUGGUGCAUGACCUUGUCGAGAAGCUCGUCAAGCCACGGUUACAGGGCUCCAGCCGCUACGAGCCAGACACCGAGGUCUCGGAGGACACGGUCUGUCAGCGGUGGAGGGAGUUCGAGGAGUUCAAGGCGGCCGCCGCGAAGAUGUCUUACGACACGGUCAUCGACGGCGCGAAUGUAGGCUAUUACGGGUUAAACAGCUGGUACACCGAGGCCAAGGAUGCGCUGCUGCGUUCCCGUGGUAUCGACCCCUCCUCCGUCCCCUCAGCAGAUCGGUUCAGCGUGCCCUUCCCAGUCGAUGUCGCCCCAAAGUUCUCCCUCAUUGAGGACAUGCGCACAGCAGCAGAGCGAAGCGGGAAAAAGGCGGUGAUUGUUCUGCACAACCGCCAUCUAGCGCACCCUACUCCGGAGAACGCCACCUAUGCGGCUAGAUGGCGGGACAUGGGCGCGCUGCUGCCAAGCCCCGCGUUUCUCAACGAUGACUACUGCUGGCUCUACGCAGUGCUGACGCGGCAGGAUUCUUGCAUCAUCUCUAACGACCAGAUGCGCGACCACUACUUCACGGUGCUGCAGCCGCGCUUCUUCGUGCGGUGGCGGCAGCGGCACCGCAUCACGUACAAGGCGCUAUACAACAAGAUUGCGCGGGUUGCCACGUUGCGCAUUCAUCUGCCUCGGGUGUACUCGGUGUGGGUGCAAGCGUGCGGCGUGGCCUCUCAGCGCCACUGGCACGUCCCGUACAUUGCGAGCAUUGACGUCAUUCACCAGGCCACGAAUCAAACAAUUAUGACGAGCGCCGACGUCGAUUUGGGCAAGGACGGAGAUGACCAGUGCACGGAUUGGAUCUGCACGCGACGAGGCUCUUAGGCACGACAUGUAUGGCUUUGGCAUUUUCCGCAGUGCUCUUGCAGAAGCUUGGCAGGCUCACCUCGUCACUGUUUGCUGCACCUCACAGUUCACGGUGCUUAUGGAGCGUGUUGGUGGGCGCUUCUAUCAUCUUUUGGGAUUUCCUCGAGGCUGUGUGGCUAUUCACACGCAUGCGAAAGGCCGCGGAGGCCGUCCACGAGGUGCGCUGAGGUCAUGCCACGUGCGUUUUUCCGCGCGCGCGGCGUUCCUCUCUCACGCAAACGGCUAAACCGUUUUAAUCACGAAUCCAUCGAAGUGCAUGCCUCAUGAGCCACCACUUCUCUUGCCCUUUCUCGCUGAGGGGGUGGGGGCAUGUCAAAUCGACACUUGGUUUCUGUGGCACUCAAGGGAACGUGCAUGCGUACUGCCCUCCGCAAAGGAGUGAGGUCAGCGCCCGCGCAACUCGCGACACUCCGUUUCUCUGUGCUCUCUGCUACGUGCCUCAUCUUUGCUGUCGCUGCUGCACGGCCACAUUCACGUGACGUGUGGUCCUCCUUCCAUGUCGUCUUCGACUCCUCCCUCCUCUCUCUCUUUCUCGUACCGCUUCCGACCUCUCUUUCUCACGCACCACACACGCGUUGUGUCCACUACCACGUCGUCCUUAUCUUUCACGCAACUCCCCGCCACGCUGCGGAUGAUCCGUAG